CGCGUAGGCGGCGAGGCAAGUCAGAUGUGAAAGCCCCGGGCUCAACCCGGGAAUUGCAUCUGAAACUGCUUUGCUUGAGUUCUGGAGGGGGCAGUGGAAUUCCCAGUGUAGCGGUGAAAUGCGUAGAUAUUGGGAGGAACACCUGCGGCGAAGGCGGCUACCUGGACAGAAACUGACGCUGAGGCGCGAAAGCUAGGGGAGCGAACGGGAUUAGAUACCCCGGUAGUCCUAGCCGUAAACGAUGGGCACUUGGUGUUGGGGGUAUUGAGUCCCUCGGUGCCGGAGUUAACACGUUAAGUGCCCCGCCUGGGGAGUACGGUCGCAAGACUGAA
rnacentral:rRNA from 1 species